rnacentral:rRNA from 1 species
GACGAACGCUGGCGGCGUGCCUAAUACAUGCAAGUUGAGCGCUGAAGGUUGGUACUUGUACCAACUGGAUGAGCAGCGAACGGGUGAGUAACGCGUGGGGAAUCUGCCUUUGAGCGGGGGACAACAUUUGGAAACGAAUGCUAAUACCGCAUAACAACUUUAAACACAAGUUUUAAGUUUGAAAGAUGCAAUUGCAUCACUCAAAGAUGAUCCCGCGUUGUAUUAGCUAGUUGGUGAGGUAAAGGCUCACCAAGGCGAUGAUACAUAGCCGACCUGAGAGGGUGAUCGGCCACAUUGGGACUGAGACACGGCCCAAACUCCUACGGGAGGCAGCAGUAGGGAAUCUUCGGCAAUGGACGAAAGGCUGACCGAGCAACGCCGCGUGAGUGAAGAAGGUUUUCGGAUCGUAAAACUCUGUUGGUAGAGAAGAACGUUGGUGAGAGUGGAAAGCUCAUCAAGUGACGGUAACUAACCAGAAAGGGACGGCUAACUACGUG